rnacentral:rRNA from 1 species
AUACGUGGCACACGGCUCAGUAACACGUAGUCAACAUAACCAAAGGACGUGGAUAAACUCGGGAAACUGAGGCUAAACCGCGAUAGAUCAAGAUACCUGGAAUGGUUUUUGAUUAAAAUCUAUAUGGCCUUUGGAUUGGACUGCGUCCGAUCAGGCUGUUGGUGAGGUAAUGGCCCACCAAACCUGUAACCGGUACGGGCUCUGAGAGGAGGAGCCCGGAGAUGGGUACUGAGAAAAGGACCCAGGCCCUAUGGGGCGCAGCAGGCGCGAAACCUCUGCAAUAGGCGAAAGCCUGACAGGGUUAUUCUGAGUGACUUUCGCUAAGAAAGUCUUUUGACACCUCUAAAAAUGGUGUAGAAUAAGGGGUGGGCAAGUCUGGUGUCAGCCGCCGCGGUAAUACCAGCACCCCGAGUGGUCGGGACGAUUAUUGGGCCUAAGGCAUCCGUAGCCGGUUUUACAAGUCCCCCGUUAAAUCCAGCUGCUUAACAGAUGGGCUGCGGAGGAUACUAUAAGACUAGGAGGCAGGAGAGGCAAGCGGUACUCAGUGGGUAGGGGUAAAAUCCGUUGAUCCAUUGAAGACCACCAGUGGCGAAGGCGGCUUGCCAGAAUGCGCUCGACGGUGAGGGAUGAAAGCUGGGGGAGCAAACCGGAUUAGAUACCCGGGUAGUCCCAGCUGUAAACGAUGCAGACUCGGUGAUGGACUAGCUUUAUGCUAGUCCAGUGCCGCAGGGAAGCCGUUAAGUCUGCCGCCUGGGUAGUACGGUCGCAAGACUGAA